rnacentral:rRNA from 1 species
GCCAGCAGCCAUAUCACCCUGCAACCCAGCUGGCAGCCCACUGGAGCUCAGCAGGUGUGAGCCUGGUCAGUACCUGGAUGGGAGACCUCCUGGGAAAAACUAAGGUUGCUGCUGGAA